UACGUAGGGUGCAAGCGUUAAUCGGAAUUACUGGGCGUAAAGCGUGCGCAGGCGGUUCGUUAAGUCCGUUGUGAAAUCCCCGGGCUCAACCUGGGAACUGCAUCUGUGACUGCAUAGCUAGAGUACGGUAGAGGGGGAUGGAAUUCCGCGUGUAGCAGUGAAAUGCGUAGAUAUGCGGAGGAACACCGAUGGCGAAGGCAAUCCCCCUGGACCUGUACUGACGCUCAUGCACGAAAAGCGUGGGGAGCAAACAGG
rnacentral:rRNA from 1 species